rnacentral:rRNA from 1 species
UACGUAGGGUGCGAGCGUUGCCCGGAUUUAUUGGGCGUAAAGGGCGCGUAGGCGGCCACGCACGUCCGUUGUGAAAUCGCCCGGCUCAACUGGGCGGGGUCAGCGGAUACGGUGUGGCUCGAGCAAGCUAGGGGGCAAUGGAAUUCCCGGUGUAGUGGUGGAAUGCGUAGAUAUCAGGAGGAACACCAAUGGCGAAGGCAGCACUCUGGGACGUGAC